GGAUGAGGGAACCAGCACUUGGAGGUUAAGAGCUGUGUGAGGUCAGGUAAUUAGUGUACUGCUCAGUGUGCAGCUGGGUUCUGGAACCAACACUUCUUCAUCUCAGUGGCUUAACCCAGCA